UGCUGGAUUUGCGGAGGUUUAAUUGCGGGGGUUAUUAUAACCUCCGCAAAAUUAUACUAAUUGUGGAGGUUAGUGUAGGCCCCGCUAUUUUUCAUUAGAUUUGCGGGGUUUUAACCUCCGCUAGACCUAUUAAAAAAAGGGCGCCACAACUAUAUACCCAGAACCUCAUUUUUUUAAUUUUGCCCCUCAUUUUUUGCCAAACCCAGAACACUCUCUCUCUAAAAUUUCUCCACUCUCACACUCUCUCUCUCUAAAAUUCCCCCAAAUCGCUCAUAUUUUCAGAUUUCUUAGAAAAUCUAAGGUUGAAGAUCCAAAAUCAAUGUUGAAAAGCAAAAAUCAAUGUUGAAAAUAUAAGAUUUCUUCAAGUUUCUACUGAUUUUCAGCCAAGUGAUGCCGCUAGUGGACACGUUUCACCCACGGACGUAAGAAGAUCAUUUGGUGGCAGUAAUCAUAAUGACAACUAAUGAAGUUCCUUGCAAUUGUAUUAGACAAUUAAGUAUGGUAGUUGAUUGAAUGGACAUAGCAGAUCCUUUAUGAUUAAUGGUUUGAGUGGAUGUGUUUAAUGUUAGUUUUUGAGACUAAUGAGAAUACUGAUGUUGGAGUGGAUGUGUUUAAUGUUAGGUUUGAGAGUAAUUAUAAUACUUGCUUUAUGUUAAUGUCAAUAUGGCUUAAUAAUACAUUGAUGUUACUU